GGGUGUAAUCAUACCAACACUAAUGCAUCGGAUCCCAUCAGAAUUUCGUAGUUAAGCGUGCCUGGAUGAGAGCAGUAGUAGCAUGGGUGACCUCUUGGGAAGUCCUCGUGUUGCACCCC
rfam:Gossypium hirsutum cultivar TM-1 chromosome 13, whole genome shotgun sequence